rnacentral:rRNA from 1 species
GUGGGGAAUCUUCCGCAAUGGGCGCAAGCCUGACGGAGCAACGCCGCGUGAGUGAAGAAGGUUUUCGGAUCGUAAAGCUCUGUUGAGAGGGACGAGAGAUAUAAUCAGGAAAUGGGUUAUAGAGGACGGUACCUUUCGAGGAAGCCACGGCUAACUACGUGCCAGCAGCCGCGGUAAUACGUAGGUGGCGAGCGUUGUCCGGAAUUAUUGGGCGUAAAGGGAGCGCAGGUGGGAAAGUAAGUCAGUCUUAAAAGUUCGGGGCUCAACCCCGUGAUGGGAUUGAAACUACUUUUCUUGAGUGCAGGAGAGGAAAGCGGAAUUCCUAGUGUAGCGGUGAAAUGCGUAGAUAUUAGGAGGAACACCAGUGGCGAAGGCGGCUUUCUGGACUGUAACUGACACUGAGGCUCGAAAGCGUGGGGAGCGAACAGGAUUAGAAACCCUAGUAGUCCC